GUAUUACUCACACGAAACGGAAAGGAAACCUAAACACUCUAAUCGGGUAGUUGGGUCUGGCACUAUCUCGCACUCUAGUCACCAAAACAUGAACGGAAGGAAGCAAUAAACAUUAACUAAUGCAGUAGAUAUGAAACAACUAAGAACAUAAAGAUUAAACAUUAAACCUAUCGACUAGGGUUUUAAGCUAGUACUCUAAACAAAGCGAUCAUAAACUCUUAACCAACAAUCAAUUGCUCCCUAGGCAUGAAAACUAAAUCAAGCAUCUGAUUCAAGUUCAAAGAAAACCUUAAUCACCAUAAAAGAAAUCCUUAAACAUUCACCAAUAAGAGAAAACCGUAGGCAACAAUAACGAACUACGAAUCACGUAAAUUAUCAAGAUUCAACAACAACGAUCUCAAAUCAUCACACUCAUCAAAAGCAUAAAACAAAGGAUUCAAAUAACCAAGGGAUUCAUAUAAGCCAAGAAAAUCAAAUGAGUUCUUACAAAACGUAGCGAUCCAAGAAGCUAAUCCGAUGAAUGUUGAUUGACAUAAAAUAACGAUCCAAUGAAUCCAAAAGCAAUUGUUAAUGUUUUGAAACUCUAAAAACCAAAGGAAAAUGGUGGAAAUCGCCCUAGAGGCUGCUGGGAUCGAGAAUGGGGUGAAAAACCCUAAAAAUGGGCUUAAAUACGGAAAAACCGUAACUGCCGAAACGCCAGGGACGGCGGCCGCCGUGGGACGGCGCCGCCGUGGGUGCCUUUCGCAGAUUCUCCAAGAAAUCGCACGGCCCGCGCCGUGGGGCCGCGGCCGCCGUCUCGACGGCGGCGGCCGUGAGCCAGACUCCAAAACUGCUCCAAACUAGCCGAAAACGCUUGACAACUCACGAAUCCUGCACACGACAAUAGCAGACACAAAAAGAUCAUCGAGC
rnacentral:lncRNA from 1 species